UACGUAGGGGGCAAGCGUUAUCCGGAUUUACUGGGUGUAAAGGGAGCGCAGACGGAACUGCAAGUCUGAUGUGAAAGCCCGGGGCUCAACCGCGGGACUGCAUCGGAUACUGUGGAUCUGGAGUGCCGGAGGGGCAAGCGGAAUUCCUGGUGUAGCGGUGGAAUGCGCAGAGAUCAGGAGGAAUACCGAAGGCGAAGGCAGUCUUCCAAGCCGUUAUUGACGCUCAACUGCGAAGGUGUGGGUGUCAAACAGGAUUAGA
rnacentral:rRNA from 1 species